rnacentral:ncRNA from 2 species
ACCUUAUCAAGAGUGGUUGAGGGACAGGCCCUAUGAAACCCGGCAACAGCCAGCUAGUCUGGAAAUGUGCUAAAUCCUGCAGAAUUCGUUCUGGAAGAUGAGGU